rnacentral:rRNA from 1 species
UACGAAGGGUGCAAGCGUUAAUCGGAAUUACUGGGCGUAAAGCGUGCGUAGGCGGUUUGUUAAGUCUGUUGUGAAAUCCCCGGGCUCAACCUGGGAAUGGCAAUGGAUACUGGCAAGCUAGAGUGUGUCAGAGGAUGGUGGAAUUCCCGGUGUAGCGGUGAAAUGCGUAGAGAUCGGGAGGAACAUCAGUGGCGAAGGCGAUCACCUGGGGUUGUUCUGACGCUGAGGAGCGAAAGCUAGGGGAGCAAACGGG